AGUGGGGAAUAUUGCGCAAUGGGGGAAACCCUGACGCAGCGACGCCGCGUGGAGGAUGAAGGUUUUCGGAUCGUAAACUCCUGUCAGAAGGGAAGAAACCUGCAAAAAGUAAUAUGUUUUGCAGCUGACGGUACCUUCAGAGGAAGCACCGGCUAAUUCCGUGCCAGCAGCCGCGGUAAUACGGAAGGUGCAAGCGUUAAUCGGAAUCACUGGGCGUAAAGCGCUCGUAGGUGGCUUUGUAAGUCAGGUGUGAAAGCCCACGGCUCAACCGUGGAAUUGCACUUGAUACUGCAUUGCUUGAGUUCGGGAGAGGGUAGUGGAAUUCCAGGUGUAGGAGUGAAAUCCGUAGAGAUCUGGAGGAACACCAGUGGCGAAGGCGACUACCUGGACCGAUACUGACACUGAGGAGCGAAAGCGUGGGGAGCAAACAGGAUUAGAUACCCUGGUAGUCCACGCUGUAAACGAUGGAUACUAGGUGUCGGGGGCUUGACCUUCGGUGCCGUAGCUAACGCGUUAAGUAUCCCGCCUGGGGAGUACGGUCGCAAGGCUG
rnacentral:rRNA from 1 species